GCGCCCGUAGCUCAGCUGGAUAGAGUACUUGGCUACGAACCAGGCGGUCGGAGGUUCGAAUCCUUCCGGGCGCG
rnacentral:tRNA from 1 species